CUCGACAAGGUUCAUCAACCAUCCCUUGUAAAAAAACUAGGAGAAA
rnacentral:ncRNA from 1 species